ACAUUGUUGCAAUGGUGAUUCAAUCUAUUACGAGAAAAACCAUUCACUUUCACAAUUGUAUCGUGUUUGGUUGAAAACCCAUUGGCGCGAAACUACCACACGUGGAAUAUGACUGAAUGUCUUUAAGUCGAACUCCAUACCACAUACAAUGCAUGCGCCGGCCUUUGAGUACUGUCCUACAAUAGGGGCUUCAGCCCCCAAAGACACGCGUCAUAGGCUGAGCCACAUAGAGGAUGUGUUGUGAUAGCCACCUUAAAGUACAAUUCCUAUUGAUCGAUGGUGGAAUCUUUUGCAUGCGACUAAUACUAAGUGAGGUAUUGUAAGUGGUGGAGUGACCUUACUGUCAUGAUCAGAGCCUCAUGUCGGUCU
rnacentral:ncRNA from 1 species